rnacentral:rRNA from 1 species
UACGUAGGGCGCAAGCGUUGUCCGGAAUUAUUGGGCGUAAAGAGCUCGUAGGCGGUCUGUCGCGUCGGAUGUGAAAGCCCGGGGCUUAACCCCGGGUCUGCAUUCGAUACGGGCAGACUAGAGUGUGGUAGGGGAGAUCGGAAUUCCUGGUGUAGCGGUGAAAUGCGCAGAUAUCAGGAGGAACACCGGUGGCGAAGGCGGGUCUCUGGGCCGAAACUGACGCUGAGGAGCGAAAGCGUGGGAGCGAACAGG